rnacentral:rRNA from 1 species
UACGGAGGGUGCGAGCGUUGCUCGGAAUUACUGGGCGUAAAGCGUACGCAGGCGGCUUGGUGUGUCGGAUGUGAAAGCCCCGGGCUCAACCCGGGAACGGCAUUCGAAACUGCCGAGCUGGAGUUCGGGAGAGGGAAGUGGAAUUCCUGGUGUAGAGGUGAAAUUCGUUGAUACCAGGAGGAACACCGGCGGCGAAAGCGGCUUCCUGGCCCGAUACUGACGCUCAUGUACGAAAGCGUGGGGAGCAAACAGG